GCCUUUGCCAGAACUACUUGAAGUUGCAGAGGCAUUACCUGCAGCAACAUUCAUGUUCCCGACAUUUAAUUUCAUUCUACUAAAGCUAGACAUACGCUCAAAGGCCCUGUUAACUACAAGAGCACUUUCAGCAGCUGAAGCAGGAGUUGUGGGUAUAGAAUCCACGAAAGCCCACAAAUUAGAGGAGAACCACGACUGCGCACCAUCAUCCUUUUUGGCUACAUUUUGAUUAGCGCCCAUAGGAUAAUUUGCCAUAUUAUUAUCAUUUACCACACCUGAAGAUGAUUGAUCAACAACUGAUUGAUCUCCUUCAAUGGGGUUGAAGACGCCGAAUCUUUCAUCAUGCAUCCAAAAUUGAUUGUUUAUCUGAUUUUCAUGAUUCAAGCGCAUCUGCUGGUUGUUCAUCAUGUCAUUUUGGAAAGCGCUCAUGUAUGUAGUUGAGUCAGGAUAUGUAAUUCCGUUCACAAAGUUGUUCAUGUAUGGUUCAGCAAUUUGCCCCACUACUGGUGUCCCCACAUUAUCAAGAAGUGAAGGUGCAUCAUGAUACAGGUCAAACUCUGAUAAGCCAUCAAAGUCAUCAAACUGCAGAGUCUCCAGGUUUCCAGCAGGUUUGUCAAAGACUUGACCAUUUGGGGUUCCGUGAUCAAAGUUUUGAACAUUUGGAUCGACAACAAGGAGGUCAUCCAUCUCCAAAAAAUCUUCCAAGAAAUCCUCUUCCACCACGUAUGGGGGCUUUUCAGGAUUCACCGGAGCAGAUGAGACUUCUGGUGCCUCAUGCAAAUGUAAUGGUGAUGUGCCUGACUCUGUCAGAUCAAAGCUCGCCCUCGCAUUAUACUGCUGGCAGCUUGGCCCAGCGACAGCACAAUGAUUGUAUAAAUUCACAUCCCUCGAAGACUGAUUUAGCAAGGUGCUUUCAGUAUCUUCCUCUUGAACAAACUGCUCCAAUGCAAAAUUGUUAUCUACAGUAAAAGGACGCUUCAGCAAUUCCUCAAUUGCAUCAUCAGGAUCAGGAACUACAUUAAUGUUCUUUGCAGUAUUCUCCUGAUCUCUCGGGCUCUCCGGCUGUACAGAGACUUUGGCAUUUAGGCGCUCAUCAUCAAGCCAGUCCUCUUCUCUAAAAGGUGCACCA
rnacentral:misc_RNA from 1 species